GAUGAAGAACGCAGCGAAAUGCGAUAAGUAUUGUGAAUUGCAGAAUCCAGUGAAUCAUCGAAUCUUUGAAUGCACAUUGCGCCCGCCAGUAUUCUGGCGGGCAUGCCUGUCCGAGCGUCAUUUCAACCAUCAAGCCCCGGGCUUGUGUUGGGGACCUGCGUCCGACGCAGGCCCUGAAAACCAGUGGCGGGCUCGCUGUCCACACCGAGCGUAGUAACUAACCUCGCUAUGGAGUGGCGCGGGCGCCUGCCGUAAAACCCCCAAUUUCACAAGGUUGACCUCGGAUCAGGUAGGAAUACCCGCUGAACUUAAGCAUAUCAAUAAGCGGAGGA
rnacentral:misc_RNA from 1 species